CUGGAAUGGGUAGCCAUUUCUCUAGGGGCUCUUCCUGACCCAAGGACUGAACCCAGGUCUCCCACACUGUGAGACGCUGCUGUGGUUUGGACUUCAAUGACAUUGAAAAUGAAAAACUAAAAGGAUAUACUCAAGAGAUGAUUAAGAAAUGAAAAUUACAAGUUGAAUAUGUUCCAGAGGUUUUGUGGAAAAGAGACAUGUGGAGAUUCUCCUAUUUCCGGUUUGCAUAACUCUAACGAUAGUGGUGCCACUCAAAACAAGAUCUAGGAUUCUGGAUAAGGACAAGUAGGAAGAGCCCUGAAGUAUGGAAAGAAGAUUCAAGAUCCAACAGAAGAAGUGAAAAGAAUUGAGCAGAGUGGUGGUUGAAGGGGUUACGAGUCAAUGGGAUGAUAUGAAGAGGAAGGCAUCAUCUUGGUAUUCAAACUGUUGAGUUAUUGUUGAAAUUCACUCUUUCCUUGGUUUCCAUAUCAACAUCUUUUCUCCAAGAUCUUUUCCAUCUGUUUCUGACUGUGAAGCCUCAGAACUUUAUACCUAAUGCUGUCAGAUAUUCCCAGCAGUAUUCCACAGAGACCUAAUACUCAAUAUAUGCAACUUUAAUGCCA
ensembl:lncRNA